GAUGAACGCUGGCGGCGUGCCUAAUACAUGCAAGUCGAGCGAAUGGAUUAAGAGCUUGCUCUUAUGAAGUUAGCGGCGGACGGGUGAGUAACACGUGGGUAACCUGCCCAUAAGACUGGGAUAACUCCGGGAAACCGGGGCUAAUACCGGAUAACAUUUUGAACUGCAUGGUUCGAAAUUGAAAGGCGGCUUCGGCUGUCACUUAUGGAUGGACCCGCGUCGCAUUAGCUAGUUGGUGAGGUAACGGCUCACCAAGGCAACGAUGCGUAGCCGACCUGAGAGGGUGAUCGGCCACACUGGGACUGAGACACGGCCCAGACUCCUACGGGAGGCAGCAGUAGGGAAUCUUCCGCAGUGGACGAAAGUCUGACGGAGCAACGCCGCGUGAGUGAUGAAGGCUUUCGGGUCGUAAAACUCUGUUGUUAGGGAAGAACAAGUGCUAGUUGAAUAAGCUGACACCUUGACGGUACCUAACCAGAAAGCCACGGCUAACUACGUGCCAGCAGCCGCGGUAA
rnacentral:rRNA from 1 species